AUCUUCGGCAAUGGGCGCAAGCCUGACCGAGCGACGCCGCGUGUGCGAUGAAGGCCCUUCGGGUUGUAAAGCACUGUCGAGAGGAAGCAAGCCGCAAGGUUGAGCGACCUCUGGAGGAAGCACGGGCUAAGUUCGUGCCAGCAGCCGCGGUAAGACGAACCGUGCGAACGUUGUUCGGAAUCACUGGGCUUAAAGGGCGCGUAGGCGGGAUGGCAAGUCGGAGGUGAGAGCCCCCAGCUUAACUGGGGAAGUGCCCUCGAUACUGCCGUUCUCGAGAGAGGUAGGGGCGUGUGGAACUUCCGGUGGAGCGGUGAAAUGCGUAGAUAUCGGAAGGAACGCCGGUGGCGAAAGCGAUGCGCUGGACCUUUUCUGACGCUGAGGCGCGAAAGCCAGGGUAGCGAACGGGAUUAGAUACCCCGGUAGUCCUGGCCCUAAACGAUGGGUACUGGGUUGCGGGUCAGACAUGGACUCGCAGCCGAAGCAAAAGUGGUAAGUACCCCGCCUGGGGAGUAUGGUCGCAAGGCUGAAACUCAAAGGAA
rnacentral:rRNA from 1 species